UUCUAGAAAGAUUCCGGUUGAUCCUGCCAGAGGCUACUGCUAUCGGGGUCCGACUAAGCCAUGCGAGUUGAGAGGGGUAAGCCCUCGGCAUAUUGCUCAGUAACACGCGGAUAACCUGCCCUUGGGUUUGGGAUAACCCCGGGAAACUGGGACUAAUACCGGAUAGAUCAAAGAUACUGGAAUGUUCUUUGUUCGAAAGCUCCGGCGCCCAAGGAUGGGUCUGCGGCCUAUCAGGUAGUAGUGGGUGUAACGUACCUACUAGCCUACGACGGGUAAGGGUUGUGAGAGCAAGAGCCCUGAGAUGGAUUCUGAGACAUGAAUCCAGGCCCUACGGGGUGCAGCAGGCGCGAAAACUUUACACUGCGGGAAACCGCGAUAAGGGGACCCCGAGUGCCAGCACCUAGUGCUGGCUGUCCAGCUGUUCAAAAAACAGUUGUUAGCAAGGGCCGGGCAAGACCGGUGCCAGCCGCCGCGGUAACACCGGCGGCCCGAGUGGUAGCCGUUAUUGUUGGGUUUAAAGGGUCCGUAGCCGGCCUAUUAAGUCUCUUGGGAAAUCUGGCGACUCAAUCGUCAGGCGUUCAAGAGAUACUGGUAGGCUUGGGACCGGGAGAGGUGGGAGGUACUCCAGGGGUAGGGGUGAAAUCUCGUAAUCCUUGGGGGACCACCGAUGGCGAAGGCAUCCCACCAGAACGGGUCCGACGGUGAGGGACGAAAGCUGGGGGCACGAACCGGAUUAGAUACCCGGGUAGUCCCAGCUGUAAACGAUGCUCGCUAGGUGUCAGGUGCGGUGCGACCGCAUUUGGUGCCGUAGUGAAAACUUGAAGCGAGUCACCUGGGAAGUACGGUCGCAAGGCUGAAACUUAAAGGAAUUGGCGGGGGAGCACUACAA
rnacentral:rRNA from 1 species